GAAAAAUAAAAAAUUUUCAAAACUAAAGUUUAAUUAUAUAAUAACCAUUAUCUUUACUAUUAACUAAAUGUAGGCUAAUCAGACAUAAAAGACCAAACGUUUUCACUUAUUGGCAAUUAUACUAAAAACGUUUUAAUUUUGGAUCACGUAUCCCAACAUUUAAUUUUGAGAGUAAUUGUAUCCAAAACUCAAAAUCUUAUGGUUCAUUUUGUUAUCCACAACAAGAUGAAUUGACUAUAAACUAUUUUUCCCCCUUUCUUUUUGUUAUUAAUAACUAUUUCAGGUGGACAAAAUUCAAAAUCUCCCAAAUUAAUUUUAAGGUUUUGGCUACAAUUGCUUCUAAUAUUAAAGGUUGGGAUGAGUGGUUCAAAAUUAGAAUGUUUGACUAUAAAUGUCAAUUAGGAAUAACGUUA
rnacentral:misc_RNA from 1 species